AUACUUAACAUGGCAGAGGAGAUACCAUCAUCAUGAAGGUGGUUUUCCCGGGGCAGGAGCAUCAUUGCACUCUAGAUGUUCUGACCCUUGCAAUUUCCCCAAAUGUGAGAAACUUGACUACAUAAUUUGUGGUAGUGGGGGACUAUAUUCACACUCCCCCU
ensembl:snRNA U1 U1 spliceosomal RNA